GAUGAACGCUGGCGGCGUGCUUAAUACAUGCAAGUCGAGCGGACGGACGCGGCGCUUGCUUCUCUGACGUUAGCCGCGCACGGGUGUGUAACACGUGUAUAACCUCCCUAUCUGACUGGGAUCACUUCGAGACACCGGCGCUAAUACCGGAUAAUAUUUUGCACCACAUUGUUCGAUGGUAAAAUACGGUCUUUCUGUCUCUACUCGCUGCUUACGCGCUGCAUGAGCUAGUUGGCAAGGUAACGGCUUACCAAGGCGACGAUGCAUAGCCGACCUGAGAGGGUGAUCGGCCACACUGGAACUGAGACACGGUCCAGACUCCUACGGGAGGCAGCAGUAGGGAAUCUUCCGCAAUGGGCGAAAGCCUGACGGAGCAACGCCGCGUGAGUGAUGAAGGUCUUCGGAUCGUAAAACUCUGUUAUUAGGGAAGAACAUAUGUGUAAGUAACUGUGCACAUCUUGACGGUACCUAAUCAGAAAGCCACGGCUAACUACGUG
rnacentral:rRNA from 1 species